CAUCGAUCAGCCGCCUCCUGCACAUCUCCCACUGGGGAUGUGCCCGCAACCCAGCACUGUAGCCACUGGACCCGAAUGGCUGUUGAGCACGUGAUACAUGGCUAGUCCAAACUGAAAUGCUCUGUGAGAGCAGAAGGGAGGGG